AGAUUUUAUUAUGUUUAUGCUUAAAAGUAUAUUUCAUUUAAGUUUUCUAAAUGUGUUUGCUCUUUUCUUUACUAUUCAGCUUAAAUAGAGAAGUAUGAGUCUGUCUGUGUCUACUCAACAGGAAACCUGCAUGCUGUGCAAACUCAAACAGGAAGUCUGCACAGAGCACAGUUUAUUUUUAUCUUCCUGUACGUUUCUGAGUUACAUGAAUAUGCUUGAGUAUAAAUAAACGCUGACAACUGCUGCAGGGGUGUGAGUCUCCGUUGAGCUCUCACCCGUGUGCACGUUAAUUUGCAAACCUGUCUGAGUGUCAAUUAUUCUGACCUGAGUUGCAUUACAGGAAAACUCCUGACAUUUCUUGGUCCUCCGAGCCGGAUGGGACAACCCUUUUGUGUAAAUCCCACAGGAAAACCUCAUCGAGUCCUGACGUCGUGAGAAGCCCACGCUGAAGUCUGUCGACAGCUCCUGUCUAGGUACAGGAUAAAAGACCAGAGACGUACAAUUCGGGUUCUGGCCAGCGUUCUUAUAAGUGGUCCACGACGGUGGGGGUCGAUGAGGUGGACCUGAGAGACCGGCAGUGAAUCAGCAACCAGUGUUUUGCAGGUUGAAGCCAGGUGAUUGGAUCCUGAUCAAAGUACUCCAAAGGAAAAAUUGGAGUUCACCAAGGUGGGAAGGUCCUUAUCAAGUGCUACUCACCACACCAACUGCCUGCAAAAUAGCAGAAAGACCGUCCUGGAUUCAUCAAAGCCACUGCAAAAAAGUGAGUGACAACAUAAACUAAUAGACGCCGACGCCCCUGCACUCUGGUGAUCCGAAGGUGGAGGGAGGGCUGAUUGGGAAAAUUCCCGCCCUUGACCUUCUUGCCUUUGGUCUACUCAUCAGAGGUUACAGGUGUGUCUGGUCAUCAUGAAGACACUUGUCCUCCUAGUGGCUAGUGUUGCACUCUUGGUGAGUUUAUUAACACUCACCCGAAAGAAAGAAGAUGAACAACACCACCUGCAGACAAGAUGGACACAUGAUAACUCACAUCUUCGUGACAUGACACAAGACCACAUUCACCCAUGGAUGAACAAUGCAUGGUACCGCUAUGUCUAUGACAGCACACCUACUAAAGACUGCUAUAUCUGCUCACAUAUGCCGCCAACCACACAGCAUGCAAUGUUGUAUGGCAAAGCAAUGAACAUGACUCAGGCAAAGUGUGCCGCAAGUUACGCCAGCCUUGGAUAUCAAUACCGGGGAAUGGUGAUCAACCACAGCAAUCCUCUGGAGAUAGGAUUACGAAAUGGGACAUGUGAUAAAUGGUUCUGGAUUGACCUGAAAGUGAAGCGCAGGAGUAAGGCUGAAUCAUUCCCAGUCUUUCUUGAAAACAAUGGAAAUUUGACACACACCCUGUGCUACCGCCAAGAGAACGGAUCGACGCCAAUGGGAAACACCACCAACUGCAAAGCAGUGCAGACACACGCUCCUGGAGGACCAGUGAAGAGCAGCAACAUCUCGAAUGGCACCUUUUGGGUGCAAGGUAUGGCCUGGCUUUGUGGCCAACGAGCCUAUUUUAUCCUUCCUAGGAAUUGGACAGGUCAGUGCGCUCCCAUUUUCAUAUCUGACCACACUUUCAAGAUAACCGUGGAAGCCACGUCAACAACAAGGAAAAGACGAAGUACCCCAGAUCUCAAGCGGCAUGAUUCCAUGUGGGGUUCUGAUGUCCCACAAGAAUUUAAACUUUGGACUGAGAAACAAAAGGUUGCUCACGCACUCUUCCCAUGGGUGGGAGUAGGAAAACACGCUUUAAGAAUAGAGACUCUGAAUUACCGCUUUGGACUUUUCUUGAAUGCUUCAUGUAAAAUCAACGACGAACAGAAUCAAGAAAUUGACGCUCUGCGCAUUGCAGUAAUGCAACACAGGGUAGCUUUAGACAUGAUUCUCGCUGAGACAGGAGGACUAUGUGUCCUCUUUAACAACACAUGCUGCACAUACAUUCCAGAUAAUGUACACUCAUCCAACAUGACUGACGCUCUGCACACACUCAGACAACUCAGGAAUGCACAACAACAAGACUAUGUCACAGACACAGAAGACUGGCUCACGUGGUUGUUAAGUGGUUCUUGGAAGUCCCUGCUGAUUAAAGGACUUGUUUUUCUUGGUGUUCUGCUACUGUUAUUAUGUCUAUUCACAUCAUGCGUCAUACCUUGUUUGAAGAACAUGGUGUCAAAAAUAGUAACUGCUUCAAUUAAUGCUUACAUCACCCUACCACAGAAUGAAGAAGGUGACAAUGAGAUAGACAUUUGGAUAUAACAUACUCACAAAACCCACUAUUUAAUGAUGUCUUGGCUAAAAAUGUUUCACAAGUGGCCAUAGACUGAUACAAUGUUAGUGAGUUGCUAUGUACAUAUAUAGAAGAAAAGAUCUAACAUCAGGAGGGAAUGUUGAAAGAUUUUAUUAUGUUUAUGCUUAAAAGUAUAUUUCAUUUAAGUUUUCUAAAUGUGUUUGCUCUUUUCUUUACUAUUCAGCUUAAAUAGAGAAGUAUGAGUCUGUCUGUGUCUACUCAACAGGAAACCUGCAUGCUGUGCAAACUCAAACAGGAAGUCUGCACAGAGCACAGUUUAUUUUUAUCUUCCUGUACGUUUCUGAGUUACAUGAAUAUGCUUGAGUAUAAAUAAACGCUGACAACUGC